rfam:Schistosoma mattheei strain Denwood, Zambia genome assembly, scaffold: SMTD_scaffold0003411
AUCCAGCUGACGGGUCCCAAAUAGGACAAAACUGAAGUCCUGGAU